UUCGCCUACGGGGGGCAGCAGUGGGGAAUAUUGGGCAAUGGGCGCAAGCCUAACCCAGCAACGCCGCGUGAAGGAAGAAGGCUUUCGGGUUGUAAACUUCUUUUCUCAGGGACGAAGCAAGUGACGGUACCUGAGGAAUAAGCCACGGCUAACUACGUGCCAGCAGCCGCGGUAAUACGUAGGUGGCAAGCGUUAUCCGCAUUUACUGGGUGUAAAGGGCGUGUAGGCGGGGCUGCAAGUCAGAUGUGAAAACCACGGGCUCAACCUGUGGCCUGCAUUUGAAACUGUAGUU
rnacentral:rRNA from 1 species